rnacentral:rRNA from 1 species
AUACGGAGGGUGCAAGCGUUAAUCGGAAUUACUGGGCGUAAAGCGUGCGUAGGUGGUUCGUUAAGUCAGAUGUGAAAGCCCAGGGCUCAACCUUGGAACUGCAUUUGAAACUGGUGAACUAGAGUAUGGUAGAGGGGGGUAGAAUUCAUAGUGUAGCGGUGAAAUGCGUAGAUAUUAUGAGGAAUACCAGUGGCGAAGGCGGCCCCCUGGACCAAUACUGACACUGAGGUACGAAAGCGUGGGUAGCGAACAGGAUUAGAAACCCCAGUAGUCC